CCUACGGGAGGCAGCAGUGGGGAAUAUUGCACAAUGGGGGAAACCCUGAUGCAGCGACGUCGCGUGAGUGAUGAAGUAUCUCGGUAUGUAAAGCUCUAUCAGCAGGGAAGAAAAUGACGGUACCUGACUAAGAAGCCCCGGCUAAUUACGUGCCAGCAGCCGCGGUAAUACGGAGGGGGCAAGCGUUAUCCGGAUUUACUGGGUGUAAAGGGAGCGUAGACGGCGGUGCAAGCCAGAUGUGAAAGGUCGGGGCUCAACCCCGGGACUGCAUUUGGAACUGGGCUGCUAGAGUGUCGGAGAGGCAGGCGGAAUUCCUGGUGUAGCGGUGAAAUGCGUAGAUAGUAGGAGGAACACCAGUGGCGAAGGCGGCCUGCUGGACGAUGACUGACGUUGAGGUUCGAAAGCGUGGGUAGCAAACAGGAUUAGAUACCCUUGUAGUC
rnacentral:rRNA from 1 species